UUCUUUAUUUUCAUUCAAGAGUUCUAAAAAAUUGAUUAUAGAAUAUGUAGCGCCCGGACCGAGAAAAAAAAAAAAAGCCACGUCGGCAGCCACGUCAGUAGGCCCGGUCAGCAGUCCCGGCCAACCGGGGCCUGCCACGUGGCAAGACCACGUCGCUCCGGAACGGGCCACGUUGGCGAUCCGCGUGGGCACGAUCGGACGGUCCAGAUCAAUCGCGCGAUCGGACGGCCCAGAUACAAUCGCACGGACGGCCCAGAUUCAAUAAAAAACGAACGGCCCAAAUUAAAACAAAAUGAACGGCUGAGAUCAAAAGGCAAGAGGUUAUAAAUAGAACCCCCCACACCAGACCACAAACC
rnacentral:lncRNA from 1 species